UACGAAGGGGGCUAGCGUUGUUCGGAAUUACUGGGCGUAAAGCGCGCGCAGGCGGUUCUUCAAGUCAGAGGUGAAAGCCCAGAGCUCAACUCUGGAAUGGCCUUUGAGACUAGAGAACUUGGGUACGGGAGAGGUGAGUGGAAUUCCGAGUGUAGAGGUGAAAUUCGUAGAUAUUCGGAAGAACACCAGUGGCGAAGGCGGCUCACUGGCCCGUUACCGGCGCUCAGGCGCGACAGCGUGGGGAGCAAACAGG
rnacentral:rRNA from 1 species